GCGGCCUUGGUGUAACGGUUAGCAUUAAUGAUUUCCAUUCAUUAGAUUCGGGUUCGACUCCCGAAGGCCGCA